rnacentral:rRNA from 1 species
UUGGAGGGCAAGUCUGGUGCCAGCAGCCGCGGUAAUUCCAGCUCCAAUAGCGUAUAUUAAAGUUGCUGCAGUUAAAAAGCUCGUAGUUGAAUUUCGGGAUCAAUAUGUUGGUCGUGCCUUGGUACGUACUAGCUUAUUGGUUUCUCCCUUCUGACGAACCAUGAUGUCAUUUAUUUGGUGUUGUGGGGAAUCAGGACUGUUACUUUGAAAAAAUUAGAGUGUUUAAAGCAGGCUCACGCUUGAAUACAUUAGCAUGGAAUAAUGAAAUAGGACGUUUGAUUCUAUUUUGUUAGUUUCUAGGAUCGACGUAAUGAUUAAUAGGGAUAGUUGGGGGCAUUAGUAUUCAAUUGUCAGAGGUGAAAUUCUUGGAUUUAUUGAAGACUAACUACUGCGAAAGCAUUUGCCAAGGAUGUUUUCAUUAAUCAAGAACGAAAGUUAGGGGAUCGAAGACGAUCAGAUACCGUCGUAGUCUUAACCAUAAACUAUGCCGACUAGGGAUCGGAUGAUGUUAAUUUUUUAAUGACUCAUUCGGCGCCUUACGGGAAACCAAAGUGUUUGGGUUC